CCUACGGGUGGCAGCAGUGGGGAAUAUUGGGCAAUGGGCGCAAGCCUGACCCAGCAACGCCGCGUGAAGGAAGAAGGCUUUCGGGUUGUAAACUUCUUUUCUCAGGGACGAAGCAAGUGACGGUACCUGAGGAAUAAGCCUCGGCUAACUACGUGCCUGCAGCCGCGGUAAUACGUAGGUGGCAAGCGUUAUCCGGAUUUACUGGGUGUAAAGGGCGUGUAGGCGGGACUGCAAGUCAGAUGGGAAAACCACGGGAUCAACCUGUUGCCUGGAUUUGAAAUCGUAGUUGUUGAGUACUGGAGAGGCAGACGGAAUUCCUAGUGUAGCGGUGAAAUGCGUAGAUAUUAGGAGGAACACCAGGGGCGAAGGCGGUCUGCUGGACAGCAACUGACGCUGAGGCGCGAAAGCGUGGGGAGCAAACAGGAUUAGAUACCCCUGUAGUC
rnacentral:rRNA from 1 species